rnacentral:rRNA from 1 species
UGGGGAAUUGUUCGCAAUGGGCGCAAGCCUGACGACGCAACGCCGCGUGGAGGAUGAAGACCUUCGGGUCGUAAAACCCUUUUCUGUGUGACGAGCAAGGACGGUAGCACAGGAAUAAGCCUCGGCUAACUACGUGCCAGCAGCCGCGGUAAAACGUAGGAGGCGAGCGUUAUCCGGAGUUACUGGGCGUAAAGCGCGUGUAGGUGGUUGGAUACGUCUGCUGUGAAAUGUCCCGGCUUAACCGGGAGGGUGCGGCAGAUACGGUCUGACUUGAGGGUGACAGAGGAGCGUAGAAUUCCGGGUGUAGUGGUGAAAUGCGUAGAGAUCCGGAGGAAUACCAGUGGCGCAAGCGGCGCUCUGGGUCACAACUGACACUGAGACGCGAAGGCAUGGGGAGCGAACGGGAUUAGAUACCCCCGUAGUCCCUGAGCGGGCUGGCAAGGCGCAU